UUCUGAAAUGCCUGUGUAGCUGGAAAAAACAAAAUCAUCCAAUUGUGCAAUUUUUGAAAACACUGGGGACAAGGAAGAAGGGAUGAUGAAGGAAAGUGACUAACGCGCUCUACAAAGUAAUGUGACUAAUAUGUCAAGAAGCCAAUAACUCCAAUGGGGCAGAUGAUGAUCAAGCAGCCAGGAGGACCAUUGCCUUUGAGGCAGAAUGGACAAAAUAGAGGAGGAAGAUAUUCUUGGACUGCCUUACUACUGUGCC
rnacentral:lncRNA from 1 species